ensembl:Y_RNA Y_RNA Y RNA
AGCUGGUCUGAAGUGAGUUAUCUCAAUUGAUUGUUCAUGGUCAGUUACAGAUGGAACUCCUUGUUCUACUCUUUCCCCUAUUGUCACUACUGCAUUUGACUAGGAUAUA